rnacentral:rRNA from 1 species
AUGCCCUCCUCUCGAUGCAGCAGCAACCCUACUCGGGGGGAGGCGAUUGGUUCCUUGACACAGGAGCAUCUUCACACAUGGCUGCCCAUCCCGGAUCUGCAUUCCGGGACGGUGGUGCUCCGAUGUGACAGCCCCGACGAGCUCUACCCGCUUCGCAUCGCGCCUCACACCACCGCGACUGCCCUCCUCGCCGACACAACCAGCUCCACGCUCUGGCAUGCCCGCCUCGGCCAUCCCGGGCACGCCGCUUUAUCUAGGGUUUUAGCUACCUUUCCUUUCAAAUGUAAUAAAGUGCACGAACACUCAUGCCAUGCUUGUCAGCUAGGAAAACAUACUCGACUUCCUUUUCAGGAAUCCUCCCAUUUGUGA